rnacentral:rRNA from 1 species
GGUUGAUAUUCCUGUACCACCUCUUUAUCGUUUGAGCAAUGGAGGGACGCAGAAGGAUAGAAGAAGCGUGCGAUUGGUUGUGCACGUCCAAGCAGUUAGGCUGAUAAGUAGGCAAAUCCGCUUAUCGCGUAGGCUGAGCUGUGAUGGGGAAGCUCCUUAUGGAGCGAAGUCUUUGAUUCCCCGCUGCCAAGAAAAGCUUCUAGCGAGAUAAAAGGUGCCUGUACCGCAAACCGACACAGGUAGGCGAGGAGAGAAUCCU